rnacentral:rRNA from 1 species
UACGUAGGGGGCAAGCGUUGUCCGGAAUCAUUGGGCGUAAAGAGCUCGUAGGCGGUGUGUCACGUCGGUCGUGAAAACCUGGGGCUUAACUCUGGGCUUGCGGUCGAUACGGGCAUCACUUGAGUUCGGCAGGGGAGACUGGAAUUCCUGGUGUAGCGGUGAAAUGCGCAGAUAUCAGGAGGAACACCGGUGGCGAAGGCGGGUCUCUGGGCCGAUACUGACGCUGAGGAGCGAAAGCGUGGGGAGCGAACAGG